CGGCUGACUGGAACUCUGUAAAGGUUUCAGACCUAUAUCAACGCGGCUUAGCCCGAAUAAUCCGAGUUCCUGGUGCUUCGUCGGGGGACGCGUAACGUCGAGGGAAGGGCGAGGGGGAAACCUGGGCCCGGGCAGAGCGGGAGGAAGAGGGGGCGAGGAGAGGCCGAACGGCCAGGAAAAGGAGCUGAGCGACACAUUAACCUUCCGCUUGCCGCUUCUGGCGCCCGUUAACCUCGCGGCGCGGACAGGGCCAGCGCCGGUUCCGCUCAGGCGCGCGAGCUGUCCCCUGCCCGCUCCGGGCGGGGCUCAGCUUCUCUGCGGACGCACCCGUAGUUUCUCCCAGGUCGGCGACCCUAAGGGGCACCAGAGCCACAUGUCUUCUAGUAACAGCCCCCGCCGUUGGGGGUGGCGCCUGCCCGUGCCAGAGGCGCCGCGCUUUCGCACCCGACGGUCCCUCGGGCGGCUGACCCAGGUUCGCCGAACCCGGCACCCUCGCGCGCUCGGCACCCCCGGCCCGGGCUAUGGCCACGUGGGCCACUCGGCUACUUUGUGACUGUGCGGGGCGCGGAGUUGGGGAUAGGGAGGCCUGUGCCCAGUGAGGUCAUAAGCGGACUGGACUGCCAGGUGGUAAAGCCCGGGGCCGCUGGGAGCUUGCGCCUGAAGUCUUCCCAUCCCUUCUUCAAUCGCCCAUUCCCCAACUCUCCCCACCCCCGGUCUUUAUUUUCAUUCCAGACGGUUCCAGCCCAACAGCCGCCAAACCCACGUGGGAUGGCGAGAUGCGAAAGUUUCCAGCUACGUCACCGUUCUGGCUAAAUUGCAUCCUACUGGGAAACCUUACAAGACAGGAUGAGACAGGCUGUGGGAGAGCGGAGUGAAUCCCUGGAAGGAAGGUGUUGAAUUUUUGCGCGUUCCUAUAUUUAUUCGAAUCUCCCCUGCAGUGCUGAAAACACACCAGCCUUGAGGAAUAUCACUGAAACAAAACUGAGAAAUCCAGCUUCCUUGUUAUCCAAGAAAAUAGUUCCUCAGUUUGAUUCUUCAGAUCCACUCCUCCAACUGCGCAGGAGCAAAGACAGCCACAACAGAAAUUAGCUUUGGAAAAGAGUGAUUGGAUGAAUGCCAAGGGCAAAUGAUUUGCUAUGCACUGACCUGAUGUGAGUGAAUUCUAGUAAACAAGAGGUGAGGAUGUGUGCAUCGGAACUGGCUGGCUUUUGUGAAUAUGCCUGUGAAUGGAAAGCAUGAAAAGGAAGAUGGAAGGACUGUUAAGAAACCUUGAGGGCUUCCCUGGUGGUGCAGUGGUUAAGAAUCUGCCUGCCAAUGCAAGGGACACAGGUUCGUGCCCUGGUCCGGGAAGAUCCCACAUGC